rnacentral:pre_miRNA from 1 species
CAUGCACUGGUGGGGUCCCUCGGCCUGGCCUGCACCCUCUCGCAAUCUGGGACCCCCUCGGGGGAUAUCUGACUGCCGGUUUCAGCCCGAUCCCUUCAGGCCAGGCCGAGGGACCCCACCGGUGCACG